GGCAAUCUGGCCGAGUGGUCUAAGGCGCCAGGUUCAGGUGUAUCCUGGUCUCUCCGGAGGCGAGAGUUCGAAUCUCUCGGUUGUCA
rnacentral:tRNA from 1 species